rnacentral:rRNA from 1 species
GACGAACGCUGGCGGCGUGCUUAACACAUGCAAGUCGAGCGGUAAGGCCUUUCGGGGUACACGAGCGGCGAACGGGUGAGUAACACGUGGGUGACCUGCCCUGCACUUCGGGAUAAGCCUGGGAACUGGGUCUAAUACCGGAUGGGACCAUUCCAUGCAUGUGGGGUGGUGGAAAGUCGGUGCUGUUGUGGUGUCGGCGGUGGGGAGUGGGCCGCGGUC